AUUGAACGCUGGCGGCAUGCUUUACACAUGCAAGUCGAACGGUAACAGGUUAAGCUGACGAGUGGCGAACGGGUGAGUAAUGCAUCGGAACGUGCCCGGUCGUGGGGGAUAACGCAGCGAAAGCUGCGCUAAUACCGCAUACAAUCUGCGGAUGAAAGCGGGGGACCGUAAGGCCUCGCGCGAUCGGAGCGGCCGAUGUCAGAUUAGGUAGUUGGGGGGGUAAAGGCUCACCAAGCCAACGAUCUGUAGCUGGUCUGAGAGGACGACCAGCCAAACUGGGACUGAGACACGGCCCAGACUCCUACGGGAGGCAGCAGUGGGGAAUUUUGGACAAUGGGCGAAAGCCUGAUUCAGCAAUGCCGCGUGCAGGAAGAAGGCCUUCGGGUUGUAAACUGCUUUUGUACGGAGCGAAAAGGUCUCCUCUAAUACAGGGGGCUCAUGACGGGACCGUAAGAAUAAGCACCGGCUAACUACGUGCCAGCCGCCGCCGUAA
rnacentral:rRNA from 1 species